CACAGGUGCUGCAUGGCUGUCGUCAGCUCGUGUCGUGAGAUGUUGGGUUAAGUCCCGCAACGAGCGCAACCCUUGUCAUUAGUUGCCAUCAUUUGGUUGGGCACUCUAAUGAGACUGCCGGUGACAAACCGGAGGAAGGUGGGGAUGACGUCAAGUCCUCAUGGCCCUUAUGGGUAGGGCUUCACACGUCAUACAAUGGUCGGUACAGAGGGUUGCCAACCCGCGAGGGGGAGCUAAUCCCACAAAGCCAAUCGUAGUCCGGAUCGCAGUCUGCAACUCGACUGCGUGAAGUCGGAAUCGCUAGUAAUCGUGGAUCAGCAUGUCACGGUGAAUACGUUCCCGGGCCUU
rnacentral:rRNA from 1 species